UGACAAAGCCAAAUUUUUAACUGGCUAACCCAUAAGAGAACUCUCAAAACAACAUUUCCUAAUAGUGAGGUCAGGGAUAAUAACCUCAAACAUAACUUUAAUUUAAAAAUCCUUGCCUGCCCAACUCCCUGGAUCUUUCUCCUUAGCUGCAGAACCUGCCACCUGCAAAAGCUGCUUUAACAAAGAAUGCCAACAUGCUAGAGAUUGGUAUAGGACAGAGGUGGAAGGUCAGCAGAAACAGCAAAUCCUAUAGCAGUGCUGUCCACCAGAAAUGCAAUGCAAGCCACCUAGGUAAUUGUACACUGUCAAAUAUCCAGACUGAAAAAAGAAAUAAGAAGCAGGUGAAUUUCAUUGCAAUCACUUAUUUUGUUUAACCUGCCAUGUAAAAAAGUCAUUUUAAAUAGAGUCAAUAUUAAAUUUCAUUAAAGAAAUUCUGUGCAUUUUGUAGGCUUUGUCUUUGAAAUUGGUGUAUAUUUUUAAGCUAAAAAAACAUCUCCUUCUGACUGGUCCCAGUUCUAGUGUUCAGUGAGCAUCUGUAGCUAAUGGACAUGUUGUAGUGCAAUGGACAGCAUGGUUCUAAAGACUCUGAGUGUCUGGGAAAAAAGAAAUAAGUUUGUAUGUAAACAAGGAAAGGGGAAAUCAAGAAGUUUGUCUAAUCUAUAGUGGCAUCGUGUUAACACACAUUACCACUCUAUUUCUCUCUGAGAUUUAAGCAGUUUAAUUGUUCAUAUUCUUUUUCUUUUUAAAAACUGGGGUAAAAAUUACAUGAUGUUUUUAUUCUAAUUUUUAUUUCAGAAUUUAUUUGAACAUAAUUUUAUUCCAUCAAAUAUUUUGUUAAGAAAUGAUCUUAAUAAUUAAAUAUUCGCUAUGGAUUUUUGACCAAUAUUUAAAAGAAAAUCUCUGAUCACUAGCAUUCGGUAUACAUUUUCCUUUCCAUAUAGCAACAAUGCCUUGAGCUCGCUUCGGCACCACAUAUACUAAACAAUGCCUUGGUGAAUUCCUGCUUCGAAAAUUGUUGUCUGCCUAUCUGAUUAGACAUAACACAUUUGUCAUGAUCUCAAUACUAGGAUAAAAUUGUUUCCAGGUAUGGUAUUAAUGGUACCCAUCCUAAGUGAUCCUUCACCACCCUUCCCAGCCCUUCUCAAACUUAGGAAAUAGCUUUGCCACUUUAAAAAAUGAAAUAUUGUUUGUUUCUUCUAGUUUGUAUUUCUUUAAUUACAGGUUGAGAGAGAGGGAGAGAGAGAGUGUGUGUGUGUGUAUGUUUAGAAGCAUUCAUAUUUCUUUCCAUGCAUUUCCUGUUCUUGACUUUGGACAAGUUCUUUACAGAUUGAAGGGCUCAAUUUUUUUUUUCAGAAGAUAUAUGCAAAUAUUUCCUAGUUUGAAGAAAGAUACAGAGAUGAUUUUUUUAUAUUGAUACAUAGCUAUAUCUACCAAUAUUUUCCAGUUAUUCUACUCCUUCAUUUUCGAGUUUCUCCCACAAAUUAAACAUUAAUCUACAUUUUAUGACUGCUGUUUUAUUUUUUCUAUUUUUUUUUUUUUUGUCUUUUUGCUAUUUCUUGGGCCGCUCCCGCAGCACAUGGAGGUUCCCAGGCUAGGGGUCCAGUCGGAGCUGUAGCCAACGGCCUACGCCAGAGCCACAGCGACACGGGAUCCGAGCCGCGUCUGCAACCUACACCACAGCUCAUGGCAACGCCGGAUAGUUAACCCACUGAGCAAGGCCAGGGAAUCAAAUCCGCAACCUCAUGGUCCCUAGUCGGAUUUGUUAACCACUGCGCCAUGAUGGGAACUCCUAUUUUUUCUAUUUUUAAUGCCUCAACCUAUAUAGUAAUUAUUUGAGAAUAUUUAUAUGGAUUUUUUUCUGAGAAAAUAUGCAAGUAAAAUGUAACUAAUUAUUUUUUAAGUAUCAGCUGAUACCACCAAGUACCUUGAUAUUUGUUCAUUGCAGAAGCUUGAGAUGCAUGGAAUUAGGUAUUUAGCCAACUUAAAAAACAAUUUAAAGACUUUUCUUAUACGGUUUUCAGCUAGGUUUUGCAUAAAACUAGUGUGAUUCUUUUCCUAAACCAGUACCAAAUGAUGUAAGAAGUGUGAGGUUUAGAAUUAACGCAGUAUUUCCUGUACAUGGUCAGUGAUCCAGCAAGUGGAGAGUAGGGAGGGAAGGAGAGAGCCUAAUGAAAAGCAAAUGCUGCCAAUUUUUAUUUUGUGUGUGGAAACAUUUCUUUUCUGGACUGGUGCCAUGUCUUUUUUCCUCUUUUCUUUCUUCCCCUGGCAUGGCUUCCUUCAUCUGCAGCCAGCCCUGGUAAAGUCAUUAUGUUUGAUUGGAAUAAAGAGCCAUGGCAGGUGGUAACAUAUGAUAAAUGCCUCCAUAGCCUCCAGGAUUGAUCAUGUGCGCACACACACACACACACACACACAUACACAUCCGUUAAGCCUUCAAAUAUCAUUGUUCAGAAAUAUCAGUAGCAUGCUGCCAGAUUUUCCUCCACUUGCUUCCCUGGUACAAGGUCCCUUCCACAGGAAGAGCCGCAGCCCUCUCCUCCAUUCAACACUGUUCUAAACAAAGUGGAUCCAGCAAAAAUGUUUUAAAGUCCUUGACAUUUGGAUUUCUCCUUUUUCAAAGUUUUUUUUUAAUUUCUAUUUUUUACAGUCCAUUGGUAUUUUUAUUUUGAAAUCUGGAGGUGAGCAAGUUAAAUGCCUGCUCCAUAGUUGUAUUAUUAACAGCAAGACAAUAUCAGGGGCAUAUAACCAUGUUGGUAAUGUGUAACUAUUUAGUAUUCACUUGUGCUACAGGUAUGCGGGUCAGAAAACAAUAUAGAAUGUGUCCCAAGCACAAAUAUGUCACUAUGACUGCAGCUGAUCUUUCAAAAGCAUCCAAAGGGCCAGUACAUUUGAGUAGUAAGUAUUGCGUUUGCUGUCAGCAAUAGAUUCAGCCUAGGGAAGAACAGAGUCAUCUGUGGAAUGUCUUGCCUGCCAACAUGGAAGGCACAGACUUUCUCUGUCAGUGGCCGUGCGUUUUUCACAUCUUUGCCAUAAGAUGAUAUAAACCUUCAUUUUAAAAGCCAGUUGAUGGCGUAUUAUCUGAUUUUAUUGGGACUGUAAUGAUGAAAAAAAGCCAUUUCUUUUGGUGCCAUCCCUGGGGUUACGCCACAUACCUCCUCCAAUAUAAUCGCAUAUGGCAAUAACAAGCCAGGGGCUGUGUGGGAUAAUUGGCUCCUCCUCAAUGCAUUUAUGGGGAGUCAAUCUGAGAGUUACAGAGAUCGAACGAAAGCCACAGAGACUCUAAGACUGAAGCCCAUAUUGAUCUAGGAAGAACAGGAUGGAUCUGUCAGGUCCAGGCAGAAUACAUUGUGCUCCUGGCAAGAGAGUUCUUUCUACAGAAAAGGGAAAUAAUUAUCCCUUCCAAUGAAACGCUUGCGACAAAAGUACAUAUACUUACAGAGAAGUCUAAUAGAACCUUGAACAUGGAAAGAAAACUGCCUUUUCUUCUUUUUAUUAUUAUUAUUAUUAUUGGUAUUAGUAUUUUCUACUUGGGAAAACAUUACACUGAGGUUCUUUAUGUCUCUCUGAGUUUCCUUCAGUCUAUCUGGGCAUUUUUUACUUUUCCAUCACUGUAUUCACAUUUUAAACUCUGAUUUAAAAGCCUUUGGUUGAAACAGAAAGAGGCAGAUCCAUUUGGUAUAUAUGAAGUAAGGAGUAAUUGCAUUGGAAAACCCUGAAACACACAAACCAGAACCAGCUGUAACCAAGCAUGUAUGGAAAGCAGUGCACAGAAUUUUCCAUGGCCUGAAGCAAUGAUGUUAUACAAACAAUCCCCGAGGUGUCUCAGCAGCUCCAAACACAGUGGAAAGAAAUUAGAUAAUGCUCAAGACUUACCAGAUGGGUAUUCACUCAGUACUUUUGUGUAAAAUUCUCUCCCUAAAUUAAAUACUGAAGAAAUAGCUACACUGAACUUAUAAAAUUAACAUCUCUGUUUUCUAGUGCCCUUCUCUGACAUGAAAUGCCGGGAAUCUAAGGACAGAGUACAUUGUGUAUAAGUUAGCAGGACCCAUGAAAAUAAGCAGUAAGGAUAAACCUCCAAAUAAUUGGCCAAAAACAAGUAAAAAGUAGAUUAUAAGAAAAUGUAGAAAAGAAUAAUUUUCAAUGCCCCUGAUUCAAAAUUUGAGGUAACCAAAUGCAUUUUUAAUAAGAAAGACUUCUUGUUUAAAUCAUUGUCUCUCAUGGAGUGUUGCAACUUUCUAGGAUACUGUCAUGAUGUGGCUCUGAAACAUCUAAACUCUAUGUUCCUUGUUGCACUCAAUCCCAACCUUUCCAUUUCAUUGUCAGGUCCCUUUGUAAUUAAACGUCACCUUACCUGGAAAAACACACGUCCCCCUACUAAUAUAGAACUUACUCCUGCCAUUCUACUCUACACUUAUGCAAUGUGCACUGCUACUGGUACUCCUAGAUGCCGUUUCCCCAGGAAUGUCCUCUUGUUUCCUACAAUAGUUCAAAUUCUGCCCAGGUUUGAAGGCCAAGUCUAUGCCCAAUCUCUUUCAUGGCUUUUUCAAACCUCACUGUUUUCCUGUCUGAAGUCUUCCCCUGUUGGACGGAUACUGAGUUUCAUUAAGUAGUAGGUAACUAUUGGCAAGCAAGUCAGAAGGACUAUUGUUUAUGGACAUUCAUACUGGGAAAGAAAAUAGUUGUUAGAUAGAUUCAAACAAGCUGAAUCAGAAAUGCUCAGUCAUAAACACUACACUGAAGGACUUGAUUUCUUGGGGAAUUAUAGUAAAAGAAAAGGAGGGCCAUACAUCCCCACUUAGUAUGUGUGGUCCAGUUUAUAGCUGUGGUCCCUGUGUGUCAUGACUAGUACCCUUUUAAUCUCAAAGUUGUUUCUCUUUGAAUGAUAAGUAACAUGACUAUUAAUCCCUGUUGAACACUUAUGACAUAAUUGGUAAAUAUCCUGAAUUCUCUAUGAACUUUGAGCUACACAACAACCUUCUAAGAUAGCAAAAUUAUUGUUGGUUUCCAAAUGAAGAAACAGAAGCCAAAGGAUUAUCUUUCAAAUGACUGUACAGCUAUGGAGAUUAAGGCAGCUAUAUAGGGCACCAAUUGGAGAGUUAGGAUAGGUUUUGCUGAAUUCUAACAGAAUUUUUUGAGACUAGAAAUAAAAUUAAUGUUAAAUAUUUAUGAAGGGAGUUAGAGAGUGCCUAGAGAAUUUUCCCCAGAGUUAAGCAGCUCUAAAUAUUUAAAUAAAUGACACCCAAUAUUUUCUAAACAAAGACAUCUAUGAUACUCUCACAGGAGGACCACAGACACUUGGGAGGAGGGGGUUGAAAGCCGGAGCGAGAGAAGAUCCAGCUAUUCAUAAAAUGGCCUCUGGAGCCUGUCAACAUCAACUUGCUCUGCUCUUUAAUAUAUUAGAGACUGUCUUCCAGCUCCCCAGCAUCCUCCAGGUACUUGGAUUUAUGGAACUGUUCAGAACAGGGUGGAAAUGGAAGGUUAAAAAUAGAAUUACUUUGGGAUAAUUUGUCUUAUGAAGAGAAAUGUUAAUGUCCCUACCCUUCUGGAUGUCUCUUAACCUAAAUGAAUCUAGUGGCUUUUUGCAAGGUGCUAGCAGUGGUGGUAUUCCUCUAUGAUGCAGUAACUGGCUCCCCUGCAUCUUCUUAUUAGAUAUGUGCUCAUAGGUGCUCAAUAAAUUCUUUAUGGGUGAUUUCUGCACCUGAGUAGAUUUACGUAUGCCCAUAUUUAUGAGUACUCUUGCCAUAUCAAAUGUACCUGAGAAAACUGUACAAAUUAAGUUCAAUUUUAAUGAGUAGCACAUUGAGACUAAAAUCAUUUGUAUAAACAAAAACAGUUCUAAAAUAUUUGAUCCCUUGAGGUCCAGAAUCAUGACUAUUCUAUCCAAGUUUGUUCUUAUCCUUCAGGUCUGUAAUUUUCCAGGUCAUAAGCCUUCCUCUAUUUACAUAAAACUCUUAAUCUUUGAUAAUGAGUAGGUUCAAAGUUGACUUUAUGUAUCAUCAUUGCAUUUCUCAGGAAUUCAUGUUUUCUCUCUACAACAGUCUGUAAUUUGUUGGCUGUCUGCUUUGCUUAGUGCCUUAGGAAUAAUUUCCAUGUCUCUUUUCUUGAUGCUGCAAAUCUUAUCUGUCCUACCUCAAUGCUCUAUGUCUAGCUCUUGUCCUUUGACCUGAUAAAUUUGUUCUUCUAGAGUUAAAAUGGGAGUAGAUUUCACAAUUUGGG
rnacentral:lncRNA from 1 species